rnacentral:rRNA from 1 species
CCUACGGGCCGCAGCAGUGGGGAAUAUUGCACAAUGGGCGCAAGCCUGAUGCAGCCAUGCCGCGUGUAUGAAGAAGGCCCUAGGGUUGUAAAGUACUUUCAGUCGGGAGGAAGGCGUUGAUGCUAAUAUCAUCAGCGAUUGACGUUACCGACAGAAGAAGCACCGGCUAACUCCGUGCCAGCAGCCGCGGUAAUACGGAGGGUGCAAGCGUUAAUCGGAAUUACUGGGCGUAAAGCGCACGCAGGCGGUCUGUCAAGUCGGAUGUGAAAUCCCCGGGCUCAACCUGGGAACUGCAUUCGAAACUGGCAGGCUAGAGUCUUGUAGAGGGGGGUAGAAUUCCAGGUGUAGCGGUGAAAUGCGUAGAGAUCUGGAGGAAUACCGGUGGCGAAGGCGGCCCCCUGGACAAAGACUGACGCUCAGGUGCGGAAGCGUGGGGGGCAAACAGGAUUAGAUACCCGCGUAGUC